rnacentral:rRNA from 1 species
CAGUAGCCACGGGAAUACGAAGGGGGCUAGCGUUGUUCGGAUUUACUGGGCGUAAAGCGCACGUAGGCGGAUCGAUCAGUCAGGGGUGAAAUCCCAGAGCUCAACUCUGGAACUGCCUUUGAUACUGUCGAUCUGGAGUAUGGAAGAGGUGAGUGGAAUUCCGAGUGUAGAGGUGAGAUUCGUAGAUAUUCGGAGGAACACCAGUGGCGAAGGCGGCUCACUGGUCCAUUACUGACGCUGAGGUGCGAAAGCGUGGGGAGCAAACAGGAUUAGAUACCCGUGUAGUCCCUGUCUCUUAUAC